AGUGGGAUAGCUGGGUCAAAUGGUGAUUUGAUUCUAAGUUUUCUAAGGAAACUCCAUACUGCUUUCCAGAAUGGUUGUACCCAUUUGCAGUCCCGUCAGCAAU
rnacentral:pre_miRNA from 1 species